CGGUAAUACAGAGGUCCCAAGCGUUGUUCGGAUUCACUGGGCGUAAAGGGUGCGUAGGCGGUCGGGUAAGUCUGACGUGAAAUCUCCAAGCUCAACUUGGAAACGGCGUCGGAUACUAUUCGGCUCGAGGAAUGGAGGGGAGACUGGAAUACUUGGUGUAGCAGUGAAAUGCGUAGAUAUCAAGUGGAACACCAGUGGCGAAGGCGAGUCUCUGGACAUUUCCUGACGCUGAGGCACGAAAGCCAGGGGAGCAAACGGGAUUAGAUACCCCGGUAGUCCUGGCCCUAAACGGUGCACGUUUGCUGUAAGAGGAUUCGACCCCUUUUGUGGCGAAGCUAACGCGUUAAACGUGCCGCCUGGGAAGUACGGCCGCAAGGUUAAAACUCAAAGAAAUUGACGGGGGCCUGCACAAGCGGUGGAGUAUGUGGCUCAAUUCGAUGCAACGCGAAGAACCUUACCUGGCCUUGACAUGUAUCUAGUAGAAGGGUGAAAGCCUGACGAGGUAGCAAUACCAGGAUACAC
rnacentral:rRNA from 1 species